UUCCCUUAGAAGGAAAAGUAGGAUCAACUUUGCUGUAAUGGGAAACCGCAGUUUCAACUGCCAGCCGCUCCUUCACCGCCAUGCUGCAAGCUCUGAACGGCGCCAUUGAUGAAAUGGCGGCCGAUGACGAGAAGAUCAUGGCUGCAGCUCUCGGGGAGUGAAAUGGUUUUUUCUGUGUGCGAUGUUUCCUGUUUACGUGUUGUUCACCUGCACUUUUAUGUUUAUUCAACUCUUCACAAACCCUUUUGAUAAGUUUCACAUUGUUAGAUGAAGUUUUAAAUAGAGACACUGUGAAUACUAUUUGAGCAUAUAUUCUCAAAAUGAAUUUGAAGUAAUGAAAACUGCUCUGUGCCUGUGAACAAGACUUCACCUGCAGAUACCGUGAGAAGCUGCAAACGCUAUCACUGUAAUCAUCACACCUACAAGAAGCUGUCUUCUGGCUUGAAUGAUAAGGGAUGAUAAUCAUUUUUUUGCAUCCCCUUUCAAAGUGAAAACUUCCUUUUUCUCUAGAGUCUCAUUCUCGGAGUGAGGCUGUGUGUGACAGACUGAUACAAGUGGGUCCUCUGAGAAAUCCAGUUGUAGUCCCACAUGAGAUGGAGGCUCAGACAGUCACGUGGCUGGUUUUUCUGGCCCUUAUAAACGAUGUUUCUACAAGUGAUCCUGUGAGUCCCGUUGAAU